GAUGAAGAACGCAGCGAAAUGCGAUAAGUAAUGUGAAUUGCAGAAUUCAGUGAAUCAUCGAAUCUUUGAACGCACAUUGCGCCCGCCAGUAUUCUGGCGGGCAUGCCUGUUCGAGCGUCAUUUCAACCAUCAAGCCCCCCGGCUUGUGUUGGGGACCUGCGGCUGCUGCAGGCCCUGAAAAGCAGUGGCGGGCUCGCUGUCACACCGAGCGUAGUAGCAUACAUCUCGCUCUGGGCGUGCUGCGGGUUCCGGCCGUUAAACCACCUUCAUAACCCAAGGUUGACCUCGGAUCAGGUAGGAAGACCCGCUGAACUUAAGCAUAUCAAUAAAGCGGAGGA
rnacentral:misc_RNA from 1 species